rnacentral:rRNA from 1 species
CCUACGGGUGGCAGCAGUAGGGAAUAUUGCUCAAUGGGGGAAACCCUGAAGCAGCAACGCCGCGUGGAGGAUGAAGGUUUUCGGAUUGUAAACUCCUUUUGUUAGAGAAGAUAAUGACGGUAACUAACGAAUAAGGACCGGCUAACUCCGUGCCAGCCGCCGCGGGAAUACGGAGGGUGCACGCGUGACUCGGAAUCACUGGGCGUAACGAGCGCGUAGGCGGGAUGGGAAGUCAGAUGUGAAAUCCGAUGGCUUAACCAUAGCAAUGCAUUUGAAACGGUUGUUCUAGAGUAUGGGGGAGGUCGUUUGCAUGCUUGGUGUAGGGGUAAAAUCCGUAGAGAUCAAGAGGAAUACUCGUUGCGCCGGCGACCUGCUCGACCGUAACUGACGCUGAUGCUCGCAGGCGUGGGGAGCACACAGGAUUAGAUACCCGGGUAGUC